AGAAACUGAUGGAAGCGCUCUGGCGGGACACUUGGCUACACUCGCCCCCUAGAGACACCCCCACCAACACAAGCAAGGCCUCCCUCCCUCUCUCUUCCUGCUUCUCUCUUUGAUGAUGAUGGUGGCAGGUUUAUUCUGUGAUAUUAAUUCACAACUCUCAGCCAGAAAACAGAUCUUAGUGGAACAUAACAUAUGGCAGAGUGAUCAUUUGGACAUAACAUUGUCGGUACAUCAGGUGGUGGGGAUUCUCUUGAGGAAAUACAGCAUAAAGUGAGGAUUUAAAAUGCUUGGAUGAACUUCAGGAUGAGGCUACAGCAUCUGACUGAAUGCUAAACACGUGGAGGUUCAGGAAAACGUGCAACUAUCCCUCCAUCGUUCCCACAAAACUGAAGUCAUGUUAGUGAGCCUGUCUUCUAAGGCCCGACGUGCACCCUAGGAAAUGACUAAUGUCAUAACCAUCUUGACCAAACCCUCAAUGUAUUCCACAUGUUAUCGAUCGCUGUGUUUCCAAGGUUUGGCCUGCGGUGACUUAACUGUUGCUUUGCUACAACAGAUUUCUGAUUCUGCGUCACUGUUCAGCCUCCAGUCAUUAUGUUGCAACAGACUGAUGGUUAAAUUUGAUAUCAAAUACUUUGCCAACACAGCAGUUAAAAGUGGCAACUCAGACUCCAGUGUUGGAAAACAGCACCGGUUAAUAGAGGGGGGUUUGGUUGCUCAUUAAACUUGGGCACACUCUAUAAUGCGUUCUUUUUCUAGCCCUUACAGGAUUUCACAAAUGUUGCAUUUGUAUCAGGUGAACUUCAGAAUCAGUUUUAAAUGUCAUAAAGAUCCUGAUUCUCUUCUGAUUCUUAUUUGUGCCAUCAUUUUACAAAAAUAAUGCAAAAACCAGCAGCUGUAUUCUCAAAUUUCAUCCUGUGUUUUCAGUGGCACGCACUGCUGAAUCAACAUCGUUUCCUUGUCAAAAUGUUUGCUUGGUGUACUUAUGUCCCAGUUUGUUAAAUGUAGACCGACAUGUUCUGGAGGUGAUAUCACAAGCAGGAACAGCAGUUAAAGAUGCACGGCAGCUAAGAUCGUUUACUUUGUUUUGAUCAAAACAUUGCUGUUGGCUAGCAGCAAAAACAGAUGAAGGAGAUAUUAUAUUAAAACUAAAACCUAUACUGCCAGAUUACAACUCCAUUAGCACGAGUUGGUGCGACGGAAUGAGCUGAAACUUUCAUUAUGUCUCUCAGUUUCUUUCCCAGCCACAUGAUUCAAGCUUCUCGAUUUGAGAAUGGUCCGGGUGAGUCACAACACUGAAAUGAUGUGCCACCAUAAUGAAAGGCACAGAGCUGCAGCACACUGUAGCUGUUCAUUUAACCAAUCACACAAAUAUGCACCGGGCAGGAUUUCAGAGAUGAAAACAUGGAGGACCUCAGUGGCAUGUCUGGGAUGUGAUUCAGUCUAAUUGCCCCUGGUGCCAUGUGUGGGCAGAGUUUAAACAGUCUCUCAAGCGUGUCCAGUUCAUUCAAAAAUGCUUCACUGCAAAGCUUUUGUUUGAGCGCAUACUGCAGCGUCCAUUUGACAGAAAAUCAAGAGUGCCGCAUGCAAUGUCACAGUGUUCCCCUGAAGUCUUAACCAGCUCAAAGAGUUCUAAAAGCAGCAUUUUUGUGGCAUAAGUCAUAUUUUUUUUUUCAAAAACUUUCCUUCUUCCUGGUUUUCACAUCACUGUUGCAAUCUAGAAACUGAAACUGCAGCAGGACAAAAGUAGACAUACCUAACUGCAAACAUAUUCAAGGGUGUAACUGAGUCUACUGACAGACAUUUAAUUAGCUAACAUACCAAGAAUACCACGCUCAAAAGGAUAACAGCACGAAAAACAGCUCUAUCUAACACUUCACAUUAUAUCAGGGGUUCAAUCUAAAGCUCUUUUGGAAACAAUCGAAGCCUGAUCACAACAGAUACAACUUGCCUUCUUCAUUACAUGAUACAUAAUGUGCGUGACUUAGAGCUUUAUUAAAACACCUCUGACUGUAGCUGCAGCAUUUGGUCUGCGUGACAGAUGAGGAUAGUUGAUAAUGGACAGCAGAUGUCAGCAGUGCACUGCUGUGCCAUAUCUGAAAACACAUCAGACAGACCUCCACAAUUAGGAGUGAAAUUAAAAUCUUUGUGAAUACAUACCAUUCCAACUCUCACUUCUAAGCGCAGUUCAAGUUUUUAUAGAUGCUGACAUUUGCUGCGGUAAAUUAAGCUCUGCUGUGUUUGUGAGUUGUAUAUGUUGGUGUUGCUGUGUGUGUGAGUCAUAAAGAUGGUCUCUAAUUGCAAAAGGGUCUGAUUAUCCUGAUGAGUUCCAUAGAUUGAAUAAAGGAACCAGGCUGCUAAUUGAAUCCAGAUCCGCUGUCACGUGUGGAUCCAAACAAACACACCCAUAGAGCUGUGAGCAAGCUAUUCCAACUUCCUGACUCUUUGUCCGUAGCUCACACCCACAACAGACAACGCCCAUGCAAAUGUCCUUACUACACCCCCUCUUAGGGCUACAGAAAUGCACAUGACUAAAAAUCCCAACAUUCUCUUUUUUUUAAAGUUGUGAAAUAUUAAUCAUCAUCCAAAAAUCUGGAGUCACAUGAACACACUUAGGCAUCAAGCUGUAUUAUGAGCAACAGGAGUUUCACUUCAGCAAAAUUGACCACAACAAUAUAUGGCACCAUGUUCUGGACUUUCUCUAACUUGUUUUUUUUUCUCCUCAAAUCCAGCAAAGGAGGACAGCAUA